CUCUCCAAAGCAAAGCAAGUAUUUUUAUCACAGGCCUUGCUUGGAAUAGCAACACCUAUUUACUUGGAGGGAGGAGGCUGCUGGGGAGUUUCAGCGCUGGAUGAUUAUUCCAGACUCGGGAGAAUGAGUACACUCAGUACAUUCUCUGGAUGCCAAGAGCCAUGCUAAGUAUUUCUCAUGCACCAUCAUUGGAUGUUAAGGUCUGUUCUGUGAGCUCAGACUAUCAUCAGCCCCAUUUUGCCGAAGGAAAUCCGAAACUUAGAUGAACGGCCCAGGGGUCACACAGGCAGAGGAUGAGCUGGGACAGCUGAACCGAGGCUGACUGGGUCCUAAGUCUGAUAAAUUGCAAGAAGAAGGAAGAAAAUGAAAGAAGAGAUUUCUCCAAAGUCAUGUGGAUUGUAAGAGAGAGAAGUUGCAUCUUACAUCCAAGUCUUCACAGCAUCUCCACCAAGAAACUACUUUCUUUGCUCAUCCAUAAGAAGCAACUCCUCAUCUGUUCAAGUGUGAUCAUGAGAUUCCAGCAAUUCCAUCAUAUCUUCAGGAUCCACUUCUAAUUCUGGUUCUCCUGCUGUUUCCACCACAGCUGCAGUGACUUCUUCCAGUCAAGUCUGGAACCUUCAAUUUGUAAAAAAGGCAAUAUCUUCUAAGUGCAAUAAAAUAAGAUGUGCCUAUAGAACCAA